AAGAGCAUAUGAACUGUAUAAUCAAGAGGUCUUCACCAGUGAGCCCUGUAGACACUUCAAUGCAGUAGUGAUUUUUCUGCAACAGUGUCAGUUAUCACUUUCAUUUCAUGGAAACAAUGUGGGCAUCAAACAGAGAGAAAGAGUCACAGGCUUGAGUUAAGAAAUUACAGAUUCAUCUUUCCCUCAUAUUUACUGUUUUGUAAAUGUUGCUUUAGGAAACACAAUCUUGCUAUGUAGAGAAGGGUUAUGGUUUGAAUGUGGAAUGUCCCAGAGGAAAAAGAAAAAGAAAAUGGGCAUGAGAGUUCACUAAGACAGGCAACCUCCAGCAUGUGUCAGGUCUUCAACCAAAGUGUGACUCAUGAGAGGCCCUGAGGAAGAAUCACCCAGCCUGGCUCCUCAUGGGUGCCUGACACUGUGGGAUAUUCCAUGUUUAUUGUUUCAAGCUGUGCAUUUGGGGACAAUUUACUCUGCAUCAGCAGAUGAGUGAGAAGAGACCAGUCUGCCUUUCAGUCCUUAGGACCAAGGGAGAGGGUGAGGACAGACAUGUCACAAGACAACAUGCAGGGUCACACAUACAUGACUAAGGUAAGUCCUCCAUGCUCUGACUCUAUCUCGUGUUUGCUUACACAGUCCUCAGCCCUCUGUGUUCCCCCACAGCAGUCGUGUCUGCCUUCAUGUGAGAUUUCCAUGGAAAAGCCCAUGGUGCAGAAGAAUCAACCAGAGUAAGUAAAGGAAACCAUAAUAAAUAAAGAAGAUAUAACUCGAAAUUGUUUGUCAUGUUAUAGCUAACUACUCUGCAAUGCCAGGAAAGAACAUUUCAACUUGAUCUGAUCUUCAUCUAAGUAGUAUGCAGUUUAUGGUCUUUGUCUUUAAACAUGCUGUCCCCUGAGUUUUGGUAGCUAUAGAUUUUUGGAAGCAUGUGCUCACUCUUGGUCUGACCAUUAAUAAAUGCACUUAAACCAUUAAUUGGCUUAGUAGCAUUGUUGUCAAUAAUUAUCUCAUGUGGAUCAUUUCAACCCAUAGUAGAGUCUCACAGAAGUUUCUUCCCUAGGCAGGAGCUCCCUUUCCUGCCCUUCUUUCUCUCUCCCAACAGAGAACAUGAUGGCCACCAGGGUUGCUCUGUCCUUCAUGCAUAAGACCCUGUUGCAUCCUCAGCAGCACCUGAUGAGGUGGGCUCCGUUACUGACUGUGAUUGUGCAGCAUCUCAGGAUCAGACACCAGUUGAUGCUGAGCCAAGCCAGGAGUGUGGUCCAGAUUGGCUGGAUGGUGUCCAUCCUCUCCAUCAACUCAGUCUUGGUCCCUGCUGAUCCUCACCCAUCCUGGCUGUGAGGACAAACUAGUGUAACACAUGAAAAGGGCCCAGCCUUGCUGGUGGUGUGAAGGAUGGUUUUGUUAUCCUGCUUUUUUGGGUUCAUCAGAAUUCUGGGUACAGAUGCUUGAGCUGUAGACAUUUCCUCCCAUCCUGGUCAUUGUCUCCUUUUGCUAACAGAACUGGGGACCCCAAUCUUCACAUAUGUAAGCCAAGACAGCAUCUCACCACUAAGCCUGGAAGACACUGAAUUGCUAGUCUGGCUAACCAUGGAGUACCAUGUACCAAGUUAAGCAGAGUUGGGAUCAAAUUCAUCAACAACAUGGAAAAACUGACAGAGGCAGACAGCUGGGUGGCAGCUCAGCAUUGUCUCAGAAGGCUCUGGAGUUGACUGAGGCCUGCAGAUGACACAGUUCAGAAAGGCCGACCCAUGGGGGCCCUCACAUGGGUCUAGGUACUUUGUCCUGUCAUUAGUUUGGAGUACAGGUGCCUGAGAUCACUACUGUAAGCAUGCCUCUUCUCCUUCCACAGUUUGCUACCUCUAUUGCACAGUGAAGUGAAGCAGUCCCUGCAGUGGGUUCAUCACCAGGGAAACAUUUGGUGGUCAAGUCCCGAGGGAAAAACUCAUAGGAUGGGGAAGAGUCAAACCCUGAUAUCUGUGUCCUAGACUCCCUUAGGAGAUGACUCAGACAUCUCCCACAACUUCUGGACAUGGCUCACAGGCAGAAUGAGAUGUACUCAGCACCAGGUUCCUUAGAUACCUGGUCUAAAGCUGGAAAGAAUGGAGGGAUGCAGCUGAGGCAUGCCAGGGCUCAUCGAGUACAUGACAUGUCCACCUCAGAGCCUUGAAUGACUGUUGGAUACAUUGCAAUUGGGACAUGGCUGCUUUCAAUGCACGUGUUCCUUCUUAACACUGCACAGUGUCCAUGGAAUUGUACCUCAUGUGCUCACUGGGUAGGGCAUCCUGUGUGUGACCCUCCAGGCUGUAAUUCUCAGGAACCACAUGCCCACCUGCUCAAUGUGUGUUCUUAGGAGAUGAAUAUUCCAGUUAAGUCCCAUUCUGAAUGGACGACUUUCCCUCUCCAUGCUGCACUCUGACUGAGGUUCCGGCCUCACGAAUUCUCCAUGGCUUCCUAUUGUCUUCUACCCAGACACUAAAUCCUUUAGCUGAAUCACCCAUUCUCCUCUCAGGUGUGGUCUGCUUACCCUGAAACUGCCAUAGUACAAUCCCAGAUCUUCCCAGAGCAGUUUUCUGUCUUACAGACACACAGAGUUACCGGGGUCCCAAGACAGGAACAGUGGUUUACCCAUCCAGAGCACUCUGUCAUUCUCAGUUGUUGAAGGGUCCUAACAGGGUCAGGCUCACUGGCAUCCAAUGGCUGGUUGCCUUUUUCUAAACCUGUCACAAUUCUUAGAAAUUCCUCCACCGUGCUUCACCCUGCCCAAAGCAUUCUUUCUGAUCAUCUGAGCACCUUCUCAUCUUCCUCUGACCUCAACACAGAGUUCACAUGAUCCUUGGUCUCAUGUGGAUUCUCUCUGUGAAACAUCCAGAGCCUUACUCUAUGAUCCCCCUGCCAACCCCAUGGUGAUGCCUCUAGCACAGAACCCAGGUUUGGAGAGGACUGUUGCUUUUCUCAUCAGGACACUUGGAAUUCCAUCCCAACAGUCAUAAUGUCUACUGUGAGGUCAUGGGAAAAUGAUUAAACUCGUUAUGCCUCAGUCUCCUCAUCCAUGAUGGGGAAUAAUGAUGUCAUAAGGUGAGAGGUCCAUCACACAAGUCACAGACUGUGACAAUCUCUACUACUGUUUGUCACUAGAGAGCACACCCCUGCCACUAGGAGUUGAGUGAACAUUGUCUGGACAUUUUCCAUGCAGU